UCCUGGACUCAGGACGACCCAACAACCUAUUA
rnacentral:piRNA from 1 species